CAAGUCGUACGGGCCGCAAGGCCAGUGGCGCAAGGGUGAGUAAGGCGACGGUAACCAACCCCAUGAUUGGGCAUAGCCGCGGGAAACUGCGGGUAAUUCCCAGCGACGUCUUUGGAGGGCAUCUUCCGAGGACCAAAGCUCCGGCGUCAUGGGACGGGCCGUUGUGGUAUUAGCUAGUUGGCGGGGUGACGGCCCACCAAGGCUACGAUGCCUACCGGGCGUGCGAGCGUGGCCCGGCACACUGGGACUGAGACACUGCCCAGACUCCUACGGGAGGCUGCAGUCGAGAAUCUUCGGCAAUGGGCGCAAGCCUGACCGAGCGACGCCGCGUGGAGGAUGAAGGCCUUCGGGUUGUGAACUCCUGUCGAGGGGGAAGAAGGGGUAAAACCUUGACUGAUCCCUGGAGGAAGCACGGGCUAAGUUCGUGCCAGCAGCCGCGGUAAGACGAACCGUGCGAACGUUAUUCGGAAUCACUGGGCUUAAAGCGCGUGUAGGCGGGAGGGUACGUCGGCCGUUGAAAUCCCCCGGCUCAACCGGGGAAGUGGCGCCGAUACGGCCUUCCUGGAGGAACGUAGGGGGACCUGGAACUUCCGGUGGAGCGGUGAAAUGCGUUGAGAUCGGAAGGAACGCCCGUGGCGAAAGCGAGGUCCUGGACGUUUACUGACGCUGAGACGCGAAAGCCAGGGGAGCAAACGGGAUUAGAUACCCCGGUAGUCCUGGCCGUAAACGAUGGGCACUGGGUAGGGGGCUCGCCGAUGGGCUCCCUGCCGCAGGGAAACCGUGAAGUGCCCCGCCUGGGGAGUAUGGUC
rnacentral:rRNA from 1 species